UACUGACUGACACUAUGGCUCAAGGACUAUGUGUGUAAUGCUGUUCAUUCAGAGAGCUACACCCAUCUGCAGGAGUGGCCGUAGCGUUAGGUCAGUCCUUAAACAGUCUUACUUUGCCACACACUGAAGCAGCAUCUGUGACCGGACACACACACAUACAGGUGACCUGUUAUUGC